CACACGACUCUCGGCAACGGAUAUCUCGGCUCUCGCAUCGAUGAAGAACGUAGCGAAAUGCGAUACCUUGUGUGAAUUGCAGAAUCCCGCGAACCAUCGAGUCUUUGAACGCAAGUUGCGCCCGAGGCCACUCGGCCGAGGGCACGCCUGCCUGGGCGUCACGC
rnacentral:rRNA from 1 species